UGGGAGCCCUGUGGCCAGUGCCACACACCCCUUCUCCCUGUGCCCUAACCAGCUAGACACUUAUUCAGCAUCAGCUGCCGCUUACGUGGCAGGGAUCAGCCCCACCCCCCGUCUUUCCCCCUGAAAGUUACUGUGCAGAGCAAAGCCCAGGAGCUGCUGGGAGUCAGGACUCCUGCAAUGCUGGGCUGGCUAUGCGCCGCCUCACUGCUAUAGCUCUCUCAGGGGCAGCUCGCUGGUACAGGGCUGGUUACUGGGCCCUGCACUCACAGCCAGAGGUGGGGACAUUGGGCAAUCUGCAGAGGAAGAGCUCUGCUCACAAAGGACAUGGACAGACAGAGCACUGGGGAGGCACUGACGCUUUGGUGAAUUGAUACCAAGUAAUCAGAAGCAGUUUGGAGGGGGAAUCUAAGUUGUUACAAGAAAAUAGGGCAUAAGGCCUAUUUCUCAAUCCUGCUAAGAACAGUUUUGUAUUCUGCACUGUGGAUGCCCUAGUCACAUCUCCUCUGCAUGCCAUUGGAGACACGAAACCCCAUUGCAGCUCUGCCCACAUGCAGCCUUCCCUCUCAGGGCACAGCAGUGCUGAAAUAGUGCAAUUUCUAAAACUAGCCCUGGAUCUGCAGUAUGAUCAAUAUGUCUGAGCACACAAGGAGGCACUUAGGGCACAUUAACAUUUCAGAGGGUUGCACAGAUAGUAUGCUAGUCUGUGUGUUCACACCUACAUCUCAUUCUGAACAACACUUUUGCUCUGCUCAGUCCAUGGCUAGUGUUCACUCAUUUUAACAAUGUUUUUUUUAAGUUAUAGACGAAGCAUCUGCUUCCAGCCAUAGCGGAGUCAGUCACUGCAGAGAUUCUAAGGCGGAUGAAUUUGGGCUGACAAUGCAGAGGCUCCUAGGAAUUAAUUGAAGAGAUGAAAACAGCACUGCUCCCACACACAAGGCUUCAGGGACUGAAUUAUCCUCUGAUGCGUCAUGAGGCCCCAUUUCUCCCAGUAGCUGUAGUUAGAGAGGCAGCUCUAACCCUUAGCAAGCACAGAUUUGGAGCAAAUAGAAGCAUUACUAUAUUACUCAUUAAUUUAAUUGAAGAAAGUAUCUUCUGGGGCAGCAAUUUAAUUACAGAGGAUGGGUAGCUUCCAUCCCUGAGGAGAGAGAGGAGCAGUAGCAUCACAAAACAGUGGUGGUCUCUGGACCAACAGCUGGCGCUGCUUCAAAGAGAAUGCAGUAAACUCCCUGCUUUUCUACCCCCAAAGAAGCAAAUGCCUGGACUGCAGUUGGGAGAAGCUGACAAGUGAGGCAGGGCUCUCUGCUGUAUCCGAGUCUCCCUGCCUUCUCUCCUCUUUUCAGAUCCCCAAUAGCCUCCUUUCCCCCAAUCUUAUCAUCAAUUACUACAAACUUAUCCAUUGCAAAGAUUGACUCGGGACACUGCAGUUAGACAAGCCUACCUAGUCAUUUCAUGUGGCAGCUGCUGCAGCUUCUCCUUGUGGGGCUGUGUCAUUUUUACCAUCAGGCACCGCCGUGACAUCCUAACGCAAAGGGAUCCAACAAAGAUUGUUCCUUUUAGUUUUUGAUAAUGCUCAUAUGUAAGUGUUCACAAGUCACUGGGGUGAGUGUGUGCAGCUGACUUUGGUGAUGGGGGGACGGACACACACAUUGUUUGCCCUGCCUAUUUUAGACACACGUUUUUGGCCCAUGGAUGUCAUCUCUGGUAGAACUCCUUGGAGCAUCAUCCUGAAAAAGGGAAGAGUUACUAAAGAGUGAAAACAACCCACCAUCUUCAGUUUAGUUACACAAUAUUAAUAAGGGUAUUUUAGGAGCCACCUCCAACAGCCCAAUGGAAAAGAAGGAGUGCUACUCUCCACCACUCUCCUCCCUCCCUGCAGCAAGUAGCUUUGUGUAGGAAACGGAUGGAGUUUUUCCUUCCCUCCUCACAGGCCCCACCUGAAAUGCUGGCUGGGCCAUUUAGUAAGGCCUUAUCUACACAUGAAUACACAGCGGUGGCACUGUCCCUAGAUUGAUGGGAUCCGCCAUACACCCAGACCUUCUUCCAGCAGUGGUUCUCUGGGCAUUCCUUGAUGCAAGUUACCUUGUGCCAAAUUACCCACCCAAAUACCCAACCUGGUAGUGGCCAAGAAAAUGCUGUACACUCAGCUCAAACACCCAGCCACAUUAGUGUCUCCAAAGAAUCCUUACAGCGUUCAGACCCUGCUGCUGAAUCUUUACACACUACCUGUUAAUUAAUAGCACCUGCCAUGCCACAAGUGCUGCCCUGUAGCUCAGGGGAAGGUGGCAACACCCGAAUAAGUGGGUAACCCUGAUACCCUCUCUUUGCUCAGAGCUGGGUCCCCUUCCCCCCCCUUCUGUCUCAAGCAAAGAUUGACAUAGAUCAUAAUACACCCAUGAGGCAGAAUCUGCCUCCAUCCUGCCUGAUCGGAGCCAAGAGCCUCUUCUACAGGUGGAUUGUAAAUAGAAACAGCUAGGCCCAUCUCAGCACUUCAAGGAAUCUUGUUGUGCAGUAAAAAACAUGUGUUUGGUUUUUUUUAAAAGCACCAGAUGCUCCAAGUGACAAUAUAAUUUUGUUUAUUUUCCUUUAAUACACUGCUGGUUAAAACUGCCAGGCAGUAGAUUUCAGAACAUUCCCUCAACCAAACAUCCUGGGAAAAUUAAAAAAUAAACAGCUACAUGUACCAAAAAUAAAAUAACCCACCCACACACCCAGCUCUUCUCCCCAAAAGAACAAGUCUUUGCAAAGCCAGUCUAAUCAGAAAUAGACAUCUGUGCUUUUAACCCAGGGCCUAAGAUUGAUACAAACAAACAGUCACCGCAAGUUGUUAUAACACAAAGCAAUGUACAGUAAAAAAACAAAUAAAAAUUAAAAAAAUCCUCCUUCAAAACCCUUUAGUACUGAUUACUAAUACAGAUGAAGAUUUACCCCAAAAAAAUUAAUAUUUCUCCCCAUAUUGCUAUAUCCUUCACGGUCAUUCAAGUCUUGCAGCCUUGAGUAGAGCUUGCAACUGUGUGGUUCUUAAUGCUCAACAAAUCAGCUGACUGCAAGAAGCCAGUGUUCCCUUAGCAAGGAGGGACCUGCAAGCAGCUCAUUCAGGCCUUGUCUACACAACCAUAUCCAAGUCCUGGGACCCACUUACAACACAGUUAAGAGUUGCUGUACAGAUGGGACCCAAACAUUGUCACUGUAUCUGGGCUAAAGCCUUGGGCAAUCCAGGCUAUUUCUCCAAAGACCCUGAGAACUCUACUUUUGUUUCAUGCAGCCUGGAGCCACCUUACAGACUGGUUAGUUUCUUAAGCAGAAAGAGCUCGAGUGCAAGAAGUCUCCAGGAGCAGCCCUGGCCCAAGUUUCUCAGCCUCUACUGGGUGUUUUACUCACUCCAAGAUCCUGACUGAACAUGCUUGGAUUAAAACCGAAUCACUGAGAGAGAACAAAUAAGCACACCCCUAACACACAUGAAUAAGAAAUAACUAUGGCUCAAAGAUUUUGCAUUUCCUAGAUUCACACACACUAAGAAGAGUUUCUGGUUAAA